GACGAACGCUGGCGGCGUGCUUAACACAUGCAAGUCGAACGCUGAAGCCCUUUCGGGGGUGGAUGAGUGGCGAGCGGGUGAGUAACACGUGGGUAAUCUGCCCUGUACUUCGGGAUAAGCCUUGGAAACGGGGUCUAAUACCGGAUAGGACCUGUCCUCGCAUGGGGGUGGGUGGAAAGUUCCGGCGGUAUGGGAUGAGCCCGCGGCCUAUCAGCUUGUUGGUGGGGUAGUGGCCUACCAAGGCGACGACGGGUAGCCGGCCUGAGAGGGUGACCGGGCACACUGGGACUGAGACACGGCCCAGACUCCUACGGGAGGCAGCAGUGGGGAAUCUUGCGCAAUGGGCGAAAGCCUGACGCAGCAACGCCGCGUGGGGGAUGACGGCCUUCGGGUUGUAAACCUCUUUCGACAUCGACGAAGGGGCCCUGUUGUGGGGUUUUGACGGUAGGUGUAGAAGAAGCACCGGCUAACUACGUGCCAGCCGCCGCAGUAA
rnacentral:rRNA from 1 species